AUUAAUUCAUCCAUCUUCUAACCGCCUACCUUGGUAGUUGGUACACCGUGGAGAGGUUUAAUUAAACCAUCGUUCCCGAAGGCACAUACACUCGUACAUCAUAUUACCUUCAAUACCCCAGGGUAAUUCUUUAAGGCCCAGCUCCAAGAACAGAGAAGAUUUUGAGUACAGAGCCAUGAGGGUCUGAAGGGUUGCUGACUUUUUAGGUGUUGUGGAAAUAAGGAGUUUGACGUUGGAAAGUAAAGACUGUGGAAGCCAUGUGAGAUUGCAGGACCCGUCUUCCUCAUGACCCAAUUGGUCCAGCCCAUCAAGGAUGAGGACUAGAGGACGUUUUGAUGUGGAAGUCCUAAUCAGGAGGGCCUGGAACCAACGUCCCGUGGACAUGGAGGGCUGACUGUAUAAUACAAACCACGGGGGCCUGGAACCAACCUCCCGUAGACAUGGAGCGCUGACUGUAUAAUACAAACCACAUUGGCAUUAUUUGGAGCCUAGUGCUCUGCUGGAAGGAAAACCGAUUUGCUUUGUACUAUUUAUGUAUUUAUUGUCUUACUGCAAGCACCUUAAUUUGUAUUUGUGAUUUAUUGGUGUUUACUGGGGGCUGGAAGGAAAUGCAGAAUAAGAAUUUCAUUGCAUGGUGUAACCAGCUGUUUACUGUGCAUUUGAGAAUAAUCUCUCGUGAAUCUUUGAUUUUGAACGAGUCACUGUGGACACCAUCAUCAAACCUUUAUUCUCAGCGGGGACCAAAACGAUGGUUAUGAGAAACGCAUUUAUAUUUUUGGAAGCAUAUCAUGCAAAUGUGAGGUUCUCUCUUUGUUAUGGUAGGAUAGGGUGACCUCCUGAAAAAAUAAACAAUGCAGCCAUGUGA